UACGUAGGGUGCAAGCGUUAAUCGGAAUUAUUGGGCGUAAAGCGCGCGCAGGCGGUCCCUUAAGUCUGAUGUGAAAGCCCACGGCUCAACCGUGGAGGGUCAUUGGAAACUGGGGGACUUGAGUACAGAAGAGGAAAGCGGAAUUCCACGUGUAGCGGUGAAAUGCGUAGAGAUGUGGAGGAACACCAGUGGCGAAGGCGGCUUUCUGGUCUGUAACUGACGCUGAGGCGCGAAAGCGUGGGGAGCAAACAGG
rnacentral:rRNA from 1 species